GAGUUCGAUUAUACCACUGAACGCUGGCGGGAUGCUUUACAUAUGCAAGUCGAACGGCACGGACUUCGUCCAGGGCGAGUGGGCGGAACGGGUGAGUAAUGUAUCGGAAUCGUGCCUUAGUAGCGUGAUAACUACGAAAGCGUAGCUACACCGCAUACGCGUUCCUUCGGGGAAAGCGGGGGACCUUCGGGCUCGCACUAUUAGAGCGGCCGAUAUCGGACGAAGAAGGCGGGGUAACGGCUCACCAAGGCGACGAUCCGCAGUUUUGCUGGAGAGGGGACGACUUAGCCACUACACUGGGACCGAGACACGGCCCAGACUCCAUGGGAGGCAGCAGUGGGGAAUUUUGGACAAUGGGGAAACCCUGAUCCAGCCAUCCGGCGUGUGCGACAUGUCUUCUGGGCUGCAGGAAGACUUUGGUAGGAGAAACGGCACGGGAUAAUACCCCGUGCAACUGACGGUACUCCGCAGAAUAAGCACCACAAUUUACGUGUCAGCAGCCAGGUAUUACGAGGGCGCAAGCCGUUAAUCGGAAUUACUGGGGCGUAAAGCGUGCGCAGGCGGUUCGGAAAGAAAGAUGUGAAAUCCCAGAGCAACUUUGGAACUGCAUUUUUAACUAAUGAGCUAUGGGGAGGCUGAGGGGAGUGGGAAUUCGCGUGUAGCAGUGAAAUGCGUAGAUAUGUGGAGGAACACCGAUGGCGAAGGUAGCCUCCUGAUACACCGACGUCAUACACUGAAAGUGGGGAUAAAACAGGAUUAGACACCUGGUAGUCCACGCCCAAACGAUGCCAAUUAGCUGUUGCCUUUGGCCUUUGGUAGCGCAGCUAACGUAUGGUGAAGUUGACCGCCUGUGAGUGUCAGGUCAAAGAUUAAAUCAAAGAAAUUGACGGGACCGUCAGCGGUGAUGAUUAAUUGAUGCAACGCGAAAAACCUUACCUACCCUUAAUACGUGUCUGGAAUCCCGAAGAGAUUUGGGAUGCCUGCAAGAGAACCGGAACACAGGUGCUGCAUGGCUAAGCCGCUGUACUGCAGUCGCAGAUGUUGGGUUAAGUCCCGCAACGAGCAACCCUUGUCAUUAGUUGCUACGAAAGGGCACUCUAAUGAGACUGCCGGUGACAAAACCGAGGUACGGUGUAUGGAUUACCGGGUCCUCAUGGCCCUUAUGGGUAGGGCUUCACACGUCAUACAAUGGUCGGGACGAGGGUCGCCAACCCGCGAGGGGGAGCUAAUCCCAGAAACCUGAUCGUAGUCCGAUCGCAGUCUGCAACUGACCGAAGUUCGGGAAUCAUAGCAAUCGCGGAUCAGCAUGUCGCGGUGAAUACGUUCCCGGGUCUUGGUACACACCGCCCGUCACGACCAUGGAGUGGGCUUUACCAGAAGCAGUUAGCCCAACCGUAUGGAGGGAGAUCACCACGGGUAUCCAUGACUGGGGCGAAGUCGCACAAGGUAG
rnacentral:rRNA from 1 species